rnacentral:rRNA from 1 species
UGAACCUGCGGAAGGAUCAUUCACAUGAAAUUUAUUUACAUGUGUGAUUGAGGUUGGGAGAUGGAAAUUAUCAUUUGAUGUUAAUUGACAUCUUUGAUAUCAUUUGACAUCCUUUGAUAUCAAUUCAUUAAUACUUUCCACCUUUUUCAUCUUGUAACGGGAACGUUGUUUUUUUGUAGUGAUAAAAGCUUCCUUCGGGAAAAACGGUACCUUACCCCCCCCCCUUUUGGUUUUUAAAUCCCUUGGGUUUUGCUGCAGGGAAAAUUGGGGGAAGUAUAGUUGUUUGAGUCCAUCUUGCGACUUGUACAAACUACCAACUUCUCCCCUUCAUGCAGAUGUAACUUUUAGAGUAAUUGUUAAUUCUCUAUUUGUUACUGAUAGAAGGGUUACUUCU